rnacentral:rRNA from 1 species
CACGCUUAACACAUGCAAGUCGAACGGAGAAUUUUGGUUACUGAGAAUUCUAGUGGCGGACGGGUGAGUAACACGUGAGCAACCUACCUCAGAGAGAGGGAUAGCUUCUGGAAACGGAUGGUAAUACCUCAUAACAUAACUGAAAGGCAUCUUUUGGUUAUCAAAGAUUUAUCACUCUGAGAUGGGCUCGCGUCUGAUUAGAUAGUUGGUGAGGUAACGGCUCACCAAGUCGACGAUCAGUAGCCGGACUGAGAGGUUGAACGGCCACAUUGGGACUGAGACACGGCCCAGACUCCUACGGGAGGCAGCAGUGGGGAAUAUUGCACAAUGGGGGAAACCCUUGAUGCAGCGAUGCCGCGUGGAGGAAGAAGGUUUUCGGAUUGUAAACUCCUGUCUUAAAGGACGAUAAUGACGGUACUUUAGGAGGAAGCUCCGGCUAACUACGUGCCAGCCGCCGC